AUUAAGACUUGCCUGCUGAAGCAAUGCUCUGAAGAAAAGGAGUUAAUUGCAGGAAAAAGCUACUUUUUAAACACACAGCUAACCCUAAAUGUAACAAGGAACAAAGAAGGUAUUUUUAGUGGGAAGACCAGUAGAGGACUUGAGGUCUCUGAAAGUAAAAUUAACGUUGGGGAAGAAAGAAUCUAAAGAAUUAUCAAUAAUGUCACACCACAAAGUUGAAAGAAAGAAAACUGUAUAAGAAUCCAACAUUAGAACAACUCAACAGCAGAGCUUCGAAGAACAGAAGGACUGAACCCUGGAGACUUCCAGAGCCAGAUCACAGUUUCUUGAAAUCCUGGCCAGAUUUCACCAUUACUCGGGUAAUAGCUAAGCUGGGUUGCAGAUUUUACUGACCUCAUUUACAGAAAGUAGACUGGCAAAGUUUUUGCGGUGAAGUGGGAGCAGCUCCAAGCAAGUGCCCAGCCUAUCGAAAACAAAACCUUGGACAUUUCCCUUUUCCUACUCAGCUACAAUGAUGAUAAACUAAAGCAUGUGAAGAUCAUAGUGCAGCUAGGAAGUUGCCGACACACUGAAGUAUGCGCAAAAUCGUCAGAAGAUGGGAAAAAGGAAACAAUUUAUGAGCCUUCUGGAACGCUAACAAAAUUUAAACAUAUAUGUAGUCAAUGUUACAAUUAUAAACAAACCCCAAUAUCAUUGUUGGCUCUCAGCACUGAAGUAAUACCAGUAUGUUCUUACUAUUAGUGUUUUUACUCUAUCAAAAUGAAAGAAAAUUGCAUUUACUUCACAGGCACAGACUUUUUUCAAACAAAAUGUCAUAAGAAAGACUCUAGUGAUUUAAAUACUCAAAAUUUCCUGAGCUUCAUUUGCAUCUCCUCAAUAAAUUUAACCUCAAACACUUAAACAGAA